rnacentral:sRNA from 1 species
UCGUCGUAGUCGGAGUUGUCUCGCGUCGCAUGCGUGCGUGUGUUGUUGUUGUUGUUAUUAUGCUUCUGCCAAUUGGGUUUCGCAUGCAACGGCAACGCAUCAUUUGCAAAUUAGCAGCAGCAGUAACAGUUGCAGGCAGACAGCGGCAGCAACUAAAACCAUAAAAUCGUUGAACGAAAUAAAAGAAAAUAAUACAAAUAUUUAAAGUGCAUAAGAGUUUUCUCUCAGUGUCCCUGUGUGAGUGUGCCAAAAUGAGCACACGCCGUAAAAGAUUUUCAAAGUGAAUAAUAAUUAAAAAACAAAAAAC